rnacentral:rRNA from 1 species
CAAUAGCGUAUAUUUAAGUAGUUGCAGUUAAAAAGCUCGUAGUCGGAUUUUGGCUGAGAACGAUCGGUCCGCCGUUAGGUGUGCACUGAUUGGUCUCAGCUUCCUGGUGAGGAGGUGUGCUUCACGGCCACUUAGUCACCGUGGUUACUUUGAAAAAAUUAGAGUGUUCAAAGCGGGCUUACGCUUGAAUAUAUUAGCAUGGAAUAACACCAUAGGACUCCUGUCCUAUUUCGUUGGUCUCGGGACGGGAGUAAUGAUUAAGAGGAACAGUUGGGGGCAUUCGUAUUUCAUUGUCAGAGGUGAAAUUCUUGGAUUUAUGAAAGACGAACUUCUGCGAAAGCAUUUGCCAAGGAUGUUUUCAUUGA